UACGUUUUCUUAUUUAAUUUAAUCCCAUGGAAAAUCGAUAAUAGAAUUUCAUAAGUUAGAAACUAUUGCAUGAAUGUUCGUUUUGCUUAAUAAGAUCCCUAAAGUUAGUCUCCACACAAUCGCACACCUCACGCCUUCGAAAUGGUUGCAUCUGGCAUACAAGCUAAUCAAGUGAGUUCCCAUUACCAGUUACACACGCUAAACAUGAGACCCAAGCCAACCGCGCGUCAUUUCGCUAUGCAAAUUAGCUUGAAUAGAGGGACAACGACCCGCAAAUGCGCCAUUCAAAAUACAUUGACCUUCCUUAUUCGACUUUGGACUCUACUUCCAAGAUCGGAGAGAAUUUGACUGGAUGUUUGAAAGCCGUCAGAAAGAGAUGUCGCGAUGCCCGCUAAAUCUUUUAUGUCCAAUUGCGAGAAUUAGCGUUCGUGAUAUUAUCUUCGGGUAAUAUCACGGCAACCGGGGAUUAUUUUACAGAUUCGCAGUUAAUCUGAGGCAAUUUCCAACUCUAAUCGAUCACUUCGAUUCGAUCAGUGGAAGAGGCAAAAGUGGUCCGUAUUUGUUUCGCGUCGUGGUGUAAUUUAAAAUUUGAUCGUCAAUCAGUAAUUUGUUCGAUCUAAGUUGCGGCAGUGCGUGUUACUAGUUUAGAAAAGGUGCGAGGCAGCGAAGCCAUUUGCCGUUACACCACCAUCCCAUUAGAGACCGCUUUUGACCCCACUCGUCGGCGUCGAGGUAAUCCCGGGGCACACGUGGCCGGAAGAGGCCACGUUCCUUUUACGCGCCCUAGACAGGCAGGCUCAUCCAACCCAUCAGCGUCCAACCGACAGCAGCGAGAACUAUUGUUCGACGAACGGACGCAUGUGCCGCGUUCAAGCGUAAGACCACGCGCCAGGUGAGAGAGUCAUCAACGAUCGACACGUAAAGCCGUCGACAUCGGGCCGGAGUAGUGCGUAAGCAGCUCUGUGUGCUCAGCCGCCGACUCAUCACCAUCCAACCAUCCACGUAAACCCUAGGUAGGCCUUUUUCUUCUUGUUUUUCUCCGAGUAUUUCGCAGCACUGAUGUCCGGCAAGGUCGCCGAUAGACAGCCUGGAGGAUUGGAUACACGGGUAUCGAGUGAACGAAAUGACGGGCGGCCAUCUUGCAAAAUUGCCGAUCGGAGCCGAUACUCGUUCCGCCACCAUCUCAACUGUAGCAGACAAUUCCACGGCCGCUGGCAUCCGUCUUCCGUCAAACCAACAGCAUGCACGAGCAACGAAUCCCAAUAUUCGUAGUGUCACCUACUCCGAUACUCCGUUGUCUUCUCCGGUCUGCAAUCCGGCAGCCAAAUCCAGUCUGCCAUCCGACAUCCACUCGGUGCUGCAAUCCAGCAGCCAAUCUUCGGUUGCAAUCCUGUGAGCAACGCUAGAUGGUGAUCCCACCGUCCACAAAUCAGUACCCCAAGCCAAAAACGAUUCCUGAAGCUACAACCACCAAGAUCCGGAUCUAUCCCGUCGAACCAGCAUGAGAGUAUGUACCCCUGUGUGACGUCACUAAUAAAUAGUUAAAUUGUAA